GAGUCCAGAAUUGUUGCUCUUCUUGUAACACAAGACGACGAAGAGGAAGCGUGCAGGUCUGUGGGCUGAUGUGAGGCAGACUCAGGUGAAGAAUGAAGACUCUGAUGGUGUUUGAUUUUGACCACACUGUGGUUGAUGACAACAGUGAUACCUGGGUGGUCAGGUGCCUUCCAGGUCAGACUCUUCCUGACUCUGUGAAGAAGUCCUACAGAAAAGGCCACUGGACUGAGUUCAUGGGCAGAGUGAUGAACUACAUAGGAGACCAGGAGGUCAGCCCCGACAGGAUCCAAACUGUGAUGGAGACCAUACCCUUCACAGCUGGAAUGACAGACUUGCUGACCUUUAUAUCACAGAAUAAAAGCGCCAUCGACUGCAUAGUCAUCUCUGAUUCCAACUCCAUGUUUAUAGACUGGAUCCUCCAUGCUGCUGGGCUCCAGGCGGCCGUCGACCAGGUUUUCACCAACCCGGCUAAGUUCAAUGAACUCGGGUACUUGGAGGUACAUUGUUACCACUCUCAUGAGUGCAAUAGUUGCCCCAUCAACCUCUGUAAGAAAAAAGUCUUGGAGCAUUACCUGUCAGAGCAGUCUGAUGGAGGUGUGGAGUACGAGCGGAUAUUUUACGUGGGAGACGGUGGGAAUGAUCUCUGUCCUACUUCCUGUCUGAGAGGUAAUGAUGUUGUGAUGCCCAGGAAGGGGUACACCCUGGAGAAACUGCUGGCCAAAAUGGAAGGUCAGGAAGAUAACUCUUCUUUGAGAGCUAGAGUCUUUGCCUGGAGCAGCGGCGCUGACAUCCUCCAGGAAGUGAAAGUUUCAUCGCUCAGCUGGGGUUACCAUGUUCCAACCACUGUGAAACACACCAUUUUAUCCACCCCUUCACUGCUUAAUAUGCACACCAGGAGCUAUUUGAGGAAAACCAGAUCUAAAGGAGAAACUCGACUCCAUAAUUUAACACCAGGAGUGAUGCAUAUUACAGCUGAGUCACCUAGAAGACCACCAUUAGGAGCUGCUGGAUGUCCUGAGAGGCUUCUUCUCUGACGGCCUGUUCACAGACAUCACCCUGCAGUGCUCCUCUGGCCAGUUCCUGCACUGCCACAAGGUCUUGUCAGCCUUGGCACUACAUCUCCUCCGACUCACCAUAACCCAGCUGAAUGUGGAGAGCUUGCUGAAGGCUGCUGACCUGCGGCAGAUGGGAGUGGUGAAGGUGGCCUGUGAAGCCUUCCUGGUGCGUCUGCUGGAUGUAGACAGCUGCCCCGUGUACGGGAUGUGCCUGGCGUCUUUGAACAGAAGCCUGUACCUGGUAGGAGGCCAGACCACCCUCCCUGAAUGCUUUGACCUGCUCACAGAGGAAUGGGUCUCAGGUGCCAGCACGAUGGAGAGGGGUAUGGGGGGCGGGGGGCUGUGUGUGUACGUCACUGGGGGCUAUGACUGCUCCAAAGGGAUGUAUCUGCACAGCAUGGAGAAAUACAAUCCUCAUGCAGAUACAUGGGAGAUUGUUGGAGAUCUGCCUGAUGCAGUGCGCUUGCAUGGCUGUAUCUGUGUUUAUAACUUUGUGUAGUGUGGAAAGAUAGAGGUAAGCCAGAGAUGUUGCAUCAACUCCUCCUUGGAAUUAUUGUAGUGCCAGAUGGGUGACCUGGUUUAACAGCUCCCAGUCUGGCAUCUCUGGUUUGAGUUUUACUGUAAUAUACAUGGUUCUCCCAGGGUCUGUCUCCUGAACUGCCUGUAGGAAAGAUGGAAAAGGACUGUUUAUUGCCCAUGUACAUUCUAUUAUCUCUAAUAUGCCUUUUUUUCUUCUUUUUUGAGAGAAUCCAAAUGUGAGAAAAUCUUCCAUCCAGCACAGCUAAAGCUCGCUAAUUAACACAGGAAGUCACUGCUCCGCUAAUCCGGCCAUCUCCUGGCUGUGCCUUCAUAUUUAAUGAACAGUUAUGGGAAUAGCAUUGAUCUCAUCUAACUCUUGGCAAGAAAGUGAAUUGCAUUUCCCAAAAUGUUGACUGUUCCUUUAAGUCUUGUCAUAGCAGGAAAUUUGCAAGUGUAAGUAAUAACAUUAAUGAAGGCUCUGUUCCAGUAAGUGUUCCGGUGAGCCAGCAUGCCCAGUACGGGAGACUGGAACUGGCUUAUCUGGAUGGGAUAUAGUUGUCACUGAUGUCUUUCCUGCUACAGAUUGACAUGACAAAAUUUCAUAGAAGACAUUUUGACCUAUAAUAACGGGAAAAUAACAGGUGGAACUGUGAUUAACACUAACAAUUGCUCUGUUCUAUUCAAGUGUCCAACAUGGCAGUGUCAAAAUGUCUAACCAUUAAAGCGAGGUUAUCUGGCUUUUGGCUGAACAGCAGCCACUUUGACCACAAAUGCUAAUAAUAUAGAAUAAUGGUAACAAUAAAAUGUAAACAUUGUGACUGAGUCAGUUACACAACAAUAUCUAUCUAAAUUUUGCUAACAUUAGCUAAUGCUACCCACCAUAGGCCUCUGGUUUUACCAGGCGAAGUAACAGUACCAGUAACACCAAAAUCCCUGAGGCCACUGAAUUAAGCAAGAGUACAUUUUGUCAGUUUAUUAAUUGAACCUUUCAUUUAUGAGACAACAUUGUGAUAUUUCUUCUUCAGAAGUUACAAAGUGUUGCUUUAAUGGGUGAAAGACAAAUAACUUGCAACUGUCAAAUGAGAAGGAUAAAGACUGAACUCGCAGCAGAAUUAAGAAACCUAAAUACUGCUGCUGAUUUUUUUUUAAAGGUCAGAUAAAUAGGUUAACAGGUAAACCUGCAAAAUCUGGCAGACUAUGCUUUUUCAGUUAAUAGCAAGAGACUGCAUAAUGUACUGUAGCUGGAACAGCACAGGUGUAAUUAUUACCAUUAACAGUGUCUUGGCUGUAUUCAAGCCACGUCAGCGAGGCAGUGUGCUCAUUGGCAGUACCCUGAAACUGGUAAAGCUACUGUACAUGAAAGUGGAGUGCAGCCUUAUUUAAUUCUAAAUUAUACAGCAGCAGUUUCCUGCUAUAACAUGUCAAAAUGUCUGUGAUGAAAAAGAUCUACUCUGCGUUCAUGUGUUCAUCAUCAUUACUGUUUGUUUCCUUUUGUUGCCACUGUUUUGUUUUAAACAUGGGUGACACAAUGUAGGUAGAAAUGAGCAUGUUUAGUGUUGACGGAUGUUUGUUCACUCCACCUCAACAAAGAAGUAAAUAAUAGAAGAGGCCCUGAAAGCAAAAUAAAAGUUGUAGUGUUAGGAAUUUUAAGAGCCCUUUUUAUUUUGAUUCAUUCAUUCAUUCAUGAGAUGGCAUGAAUUCAUGAAUGAAGCCCUCAUUUGGCUUAUUUUUUUACUUCCUCUCUCAGCUCUUACCUUUUCCUUUGAGCUUCAGUCUGUUUGCUCUGUCAGCUAUGUAGACAGACACACAGACAAAACUUUGAGGCUCUUGGGCUUUGCUCUGAGAGGUUUAACCCAAACAUGAGGUCGUUUCUGCCUCUAGAAAAGCUCCUCCAAUAAGUUCAAACUACAGCAGUCUGGUUACCUGGUAUCCUUAAGCAAGUUUGCCCAAUGUCUCCCAAUCAAUUUAGAGUUUUAUCUAUUCUGAAAACAAGGCUCUGUGAGUGUGUUUGGCUGUUUGAGAGUCAACAAAGUAAAAGAAAGAGACAGGUGAAGACAGACUGACAGACAUAGAGAGGCAGACAGAUCUCCGAUCAUCUGUGUCUGUGUCUAUGCCUCAUCCUAAUGUUUGUCUCUGUACCGUCCUGCACUAAUCACCACAGAGAAGUGAUACCACCCAAAGGAGAGUUACACCACUUAAAUACAGUACAUCUGAAACCAUUCAUAUGAACAGAGCUGCAUUUUAUGUGAGUUUUGGUUUCAUUUUUAUUACUGUAUACGAGAACAACAAUGCUACUGUUUUUUAUUUAUUUAUUUUCAUUAUUAUUUUUAGCCAUGCUAUUAACAGCUCUAGGGGUGGUGGUGUCAGUCUGUUGGUAUAGUGAUAUUCUUUUGGUCCAGACUUAAAUAUCUCACCAGCCACUGAAUAGAUUUUCAUACUCAUUCAUUGUAUUUUUUUUUUUUUACAGUCACUCAUAGUUCCCAAAGAAUAAAGCCAAAUUGUUUUGGUGAUCACUGAGUUUACCUCUAGUGCCUCAAGGAGGUUGAUAUUUUUGAUUUUUAGUGAAAUAUAUGCUUUGACAUCAAUGUCUCCCUCAGUUUUUACAUUUGUUGUAAUUCAUUGUUACAUAUGAAAUCACCACUGUUAUUGUGUAAUAUAAUUUAGGGCUUCACUGUUUAAGUUUGUGAUAUUUUAAAGUGGAGAAAGAGGGUCUUUAGCAAGCAACUGAAGGGUGACACAUAUUAAUU